CCGAAAACGGAACGUAAUGUUUUCCUUUUUAGAACCCCAUUUCUACUAAACUUGAUAGCCAAAUUAUUAUUAUGGUUUUCUAAGGAUUUAUGGAAAUUUAAGUACCCACCAGUCCAAAAUAUUAAAAAUUAUAUAACUAUAAAUUUAGUAAAAACUAAAAUGUUAGGGUUAACAUGGUGCCAGCAACCGCGGUCAAACCAUUGCUAACAAAAUAAUUUUUUAAAAUCUACUCAAAAACCAUUAAAAUUUUAUGCAGGUUGUUUGCAGUAAAAUGCAGCUACUCUAUACACCUAAACAAAUUUUUGAAUUUCCGGAUAGAAAAAUAGGAAUAAAAACUAGGAUUAGAGACCCUACUAUUCUUAUAUUAAAUAAUGUAGAUUGAGAAGUAAAACACUCCUGAGAAACUCAAAAGUCAUGGCGGCUAUUAAAACUAAUCAGGGGAGCUUACCAAGUAAUUGACAACCACCAAGAAUUCUUCACUUUUAUUUAAAGUUUGUAUGCCGUCGUUUAAAAUUUUUCUAAGAAAAGUUUCAAUCCUUUUUAGUUUUAAAGAAACUAUUAAAACAGAUCAAGGUGCAACUAAUAUAAAAGAUUGGGCGAGCUACAAUGUCAACAUGAAUCUCGGAAGCAGAUCUAAAAGGCUAGCGGAAGUUGGACUUGAAAGUAACAAAGUUAAAUUAAUAAAUAAGGUUUGAAUUCUAUUUUUAAUAGUGC
rnacentral:rRNA from 1 species